UCAGUCUGUAGCUCAGUUGGUUGAGCGCUGCACCAGAAUCGCAGGGCGACAGGUUCGAUUCCUACCAGAGAA